AAAUUCAGCUACUGGAAUAAUCAUCAAAUGGGGAGAGAAAAAUCCCUGCCCAGGCUGAAGGUGAGAGCAGCUGGGAAAUGCAGCACCAGCCUACAGGAGCCAGGGUGCUGGGCCUGAGUGAGCAGAGGAAACAAGAGGAGUCAUGAAGCACCAUCUGCAUUUGGAAGAACUGAGAAGCUUUUAAAAUUUUGUCACAAGCCUAAUGAUGGCCUCACCUGUGCCUGCCUCUCUGAGCACCUCAGCUGAGCCUGGAACAUCUUUCUUGGGAUCCAGACAUUGCCAGUUACUAAUAAAUGACAACAGCAAUCUUUUCUUCCCAAGGAGAAUGGGCCAAAU